UUCCCAUUUCCCAUUUCCCAUUUCCAUUCAGUUGUCUACCACAAUUUCCGCGGCAGACGGGGAGUCUGGCUUCCUAGGGUAGAUGAUGGCCGAUUGGCUGUGGGAGGAGAAGAUUUGGAGAGGAAAGUUAGGGAGGAGGUCAUCGGCUGGGUUGUCUUCGGCUCCAAAAUUAUAUACGAGGACGACACAAAUAUGGUCCAUGGUCGGUUGUUUCGGAACUGUGCCAAAUCCUGAGGGGUACAAGGAUCUGCUAAUGAAUUGAAAAGUGUAUGGUGUAUUUCCUGUUGAUGUCAAGCAGAAUUUCCAAUCGAUGGUUAGUUAUUGGUGCGUUGUUUCCUGGCGUAUUCUCGAUUUACUGUUCGACCAAUGUUUGAAGACAACAUGGCUAGGCUCGGAAGGGAAGCCUCAGCAGCUCGGAACAAGUUGCGAUACAAAUUCGUUAUCUAUUUCUGUAUUUCUGUAUUUUGGUAGAUUGAUUUUGUUUUGGAGGUGUGCUCUGGCGAUCGUGACUUUUGUAUUUAGAAGCUAGAUAUGAGGAUCUUGAAAAUUCUAUUGGAUUAAAUUGAUUGGAAUCUAGGAUUCUUUUGAUUA